CCCCACAGGGUCCAAGUGGGCCGGGACAGCAGAGGCCAAGCCACAGCGCUGGAGCCUCCUGAACUCGGACAGAUGCAGACAGCCCCUGACCCUGACCCCUGCAGUUCGCAGUCCGAACACUGGAGGAGCGUGGUCUGACAGAGCUCCGGCUUUCUCAUGGCUGGGACUAUAAGCCCCUACGUCUGAGCGGAACAGCAUGGAGCCUCAGCGCAGUGGGAGCGCCCCAGCCCAGAAGGGCACGGGUACCGGGGGCUUCUUCAACCCUUGCUCAACACCGAGGGCCGCGGUGCUGUCAGACGCAGGCUGCGAAGGCUUCCUCCUCACCCACAGCCCCCGCAAAGGAAGAACAAAGAUGCUUUCUGCUGGAAGAGGCUCAUUUUGACGGAUGCUCCUGGCGCUGCCCAUCCCCCUUCCCUGCCCACUGUGUCAGGACGGCCCGGGCCGCUGGUUCCAUAGCAGGAGACACCGUGAUGCACUCCAGACGGCAAGGACGCUGGUGACAACCUGACUGCAAACAGCCUUCAACUACAACUGCGAGCCUUCAGGAAGUUCCUGAAGCCCAACCUUUAACCAUUGUCUGUCCUCCCAAAGUCCUUUUCUCCCCCAAUCACCAUGCGUAAACCGAGGCCUCUCAGCCCGGGGCUCCGGUUCCGACAGGGACUCGAGCGUACGGUCAGAUGCAACACGCGGCAGAACGACAGGGGGCUGGCGGGAUUGCUUUCCCCGGGGACAAGGCACAGAUGGGUGUGCGGUGGGAGGGA